UAGUUUGAUCAGUGGCUACAGGACGAACGCUGGCGGCAUGCCUAACACAUGCAAGUCGAACGGGAUCCUAGCUUGCUAGGUGAGAGUGGCGGACGGGUGAGUAACACGUGGGAAUCUGCCUUUUGGUUCGGGAUAACCGCGGGAAACUGCGGCUAAUACCGAAUGCCCUCGAGAGAGGAAAGAUUUAUCGCCAGAAGAGGAGCCCGCGUCCGAUUAGGUAGUUGGUGGGGUAAAGGCCUACCAAGCCGACGAUCGGUAGCUGGUCUGAGAGGAUGAUCAGCCACACUGGGACUGAGAUACGGCCCAGACUCCUACGGGAGGCAGCAGUGGGGAAUAUUGGACAAUGGGGGCAACCCUGAUCCAGCAAUGCCGCGUGAGUGAUGAAGGCCUUAGGGUUGUAAAGCUCUUUUGCCAGGGAAGAUGAUGACUGUACCUGGAGAAUAAGCCCCGGCUAACUUCGUG
rnacentral:rRNA from 1 species